GAAGAAGAACGUAGCGAAAUGCGAUAAGUAAUGUGAAUUGCAGAAUUCAGUGAAUCAUCGAAUCUUUGAACGCACAUUGCGCCCCCUGGUAUUCCGGGGGGCAUGCCUGUUCGAGCGUCAUUUCACCACUCAAGCCUCGCUUGGUAUUGGGCAACGCGGUCCGCCGCGUGCCUCAAAUCGACCGGCUGGGUCUUCUGUCCCCUAAGCGUUGUGGAAACUAUUCGCUAAAGGGUGUUCGGGAGGCUACGCCGUAAAACAACCCCAUUUCUAAGGUUGACCUCGGAUCAGGUAGGGAUACCCGCUGAACUUAAGCAUAUCAAUAAGCGGAGGA
rnacentral:misc_RNA from 1 species